rnacentral:lncRNA from 1 species
GGAGAGCGAGUGGUCCGUUUCUUUAGGCUUGUUUUGGUUUGCGAAAUACUUUGAUUGUCACAGUGGUGCAAGUGAAACGUGCUACACUCCAAUGUGGUUAGGAUGAAAAUUUUAGGGCAAAAAUAAAUAAAUAAAAAUUAAAAAAAAAAUCUACCAGCUGGUUUUCACCUCCGUUACGCUCGCCUGGUCUUUCUGUGUCCACUGCUCCACUGAGCCGGGGAAUAUGGUGUAGCCAAAGGUCUUGAGACACGGUGAUGACCAAGGAGCCUUCCUGGACCAUCCUGUUACACGUGCUGAAUGGCUGGCUCAAAAGCCCAGGAGAGACGAAAGUCCAUGUCCAAAGAUGUUCUCAGGGCGCUGGCACGUCCAGCAGUGUCAGGAAGCAAGGUUUAGGAAGCUACAUCAUGCACGCUAGUUUAUUGAUAAGUGUCACCUUUCGUGCUCUGACAAGCUUUUUGAGUUUGGAACUUAUUUUCCAAUUUGAGAAGUUAUAAUAUAUCUUUGUAUUUAAGAUAUUUACUGCUUUGUUUGUGCCUUGAAGCUUCGAUGGGUUUAAGGAUCACAGAGGGGCCAGGAUACUAACGAGGGCUGGUUUAUUUGCAAACCUGAAUACUUGUGUUGUGGUUUCUCCAGGACAAUUUUUUUAUUAUUAUUUCUACUGAACAUGGAGCCAUUAUUAAAAAGAGUUAUGUGUGGUUUUUCAU